CUAUGGAGAGUUUGAUCCUGGCUCAGGACGAACGCUUGCGGCGUGCCUAAGAAAUGCAAGUCGAGCGAGGCCAUGGAGCUUGCUCCGGAAGCCUAGCGGCGAACGGUCGCGUAACACGUAAGCAACCUGCCCCAGAGUGGGGGAUAGCCCGCCGAAAGGCGGAGUAAUACCGCAUGUGGACAUCGGAUCGCAUGUUCUGAUGUCUAAAGCAGCAAUGCGCUCUGGGAUGGGCUUGCGGCCUAUCAGCUAGUUGGUGAGGUAACGGCUCACCAAGGCGACGACGGGUAGCUGGUCUGAGAGGAUGGUCAGCCGGACUGGGACUGAGACACGGCCCAGACUCCUACGGGGGGCAGCAAUUAGGAAUCUUGCGCAAUGGGCGAAAGCCUGACG
rnacentral:rRNA from 1 species